rnacentral:rRNA from 1 species
AUUGAACGCUGGCGGCAGGCUUAACACAUGCAAGUCGAGCGAGCGGCGGACGGGUGAGUAAUGUCUGGGAAACUGCCUGAUGGAGGGGGAUAACUACUGGAAACGGUCGCUAAUACCGCAUACCAUCAGAUGAACCCAUCUGGGAUUAGCUUGUAGGUGAGGUAACGGCUCACCUAGGCGACGAUCCCUAGCUGGUCUGAGAGGAUGAUCGGCCACACGGGGACUGAGACACGGCCCGGACUCCUACGGGAGGCAGAGGUGGGGAAUAUUGCACAAUGGGCGCAGGCCGGAGGAAGCCAGGCCGCGUGGAUGAAGAAGGCCUUCGGUUUUAAAAGUAUUUUCAGUCGGGAGGCGGUACCGACAGAAGAAGCACCGGCUAACUCCGUGCCAGCAGCCGCGGUAAUAC